GGGCCCGUAGCUCAGUAGGUAGAGCACCUCCCUUUUAAGGAGAUUGUCACAGGUUCGAUCCCUGUCGGGCUCACCA
rnacentral:tRNA from 2 species